rnacentral:rRNA from 1 species
GACCAAGGAGUCUAACAUGUGCGCGAGUCAUUGGGUCUUGAUUAGGCCCAAAGGCGUAAUGAAAGUGAAGGGCGGUUCGGCCGUCUGCCUUGGGAUCCCGCGGGCCUCGCGCUCGUGGGCGCACCAAGGGCCCGUCCCGGUCGCCUCGUCGACGGGGCGGAGCAAGAGCGUACACGUUGGGACCCGAAAGAUGGUGAACUAUGCCUGGGCAGGACGAAGCCAGAGGAAACUCUGGUGGAGGUCCGCAGCGAUUCUGACGUGCAAAUCGAUCGUCAGACCUGGGUAGGGGCGAAAGACUAAUCGAACCAUCUAGUAGCUGGUUCCCUCCGAAGUUUCCCUCAGGAUAGCUGGCGCUCGGAGGAUGCAGUCUCAUCCGGUAAAGCGAAUGAUUAGAGGCCUUGGGGUCGAAAAGACCUCAACCUAUUCUCAAACUUUAAAUGGGUGAGAAGUCCGGUUUGCUCGACUGAAGCCCGGACGGCAACUUGGAUGCGAGUGCCAAGUGGGCCACUUUUGGUAAGCAGAACUGGCGCUGUGGGAUGAACCAAACGCCGGGUUAAGGGGCCCGAUGCGAGACGCUCAUGAGAUCCCAUGAAAGGUGUUGGUUGCUAUAGACAGCAGGACGGUGGCCAUGGAAGUCGGAAUCCGCUAAGGAGUGUGUAACAACUCACCUGCCGAAGCAACUAGCCCUGAAAAUGGAUGGCGCUUCAGCGUCGACCCUAUACCCGGCCGCCGCGGCCGAAAAGCCUCGUGUUUUAAGCCGCGGUGAGUAGGAGGGGCGCGGAGGCGAGCGUCGAAGGUGCCGGGCGUAAGCCCGCCUGGAGCCGCCUCCGGCGCAGAUCUUGGUGGUAGUAGCAAAUACUCAAGUGAGAACCUUGAGGACUGAGGUGGAGAAGGGUUCCAUGUGAACAGCAGUUGAACAUGGGUCAGUCGGUCCUAAGGGAUAGGAGAAAUCCGUUCCGAGGCGGGAAAUACUUUUUAAGCGACUCCCCCGCUGAUGACCGAAAGGGAAUCGGGUUAAUAUUCCCGAACCCGGACACGGAGAUCGUCCUCUUCGGAGGUACAUUGCGGUAACGCAAACGAGCUCGGAGACGUCGACGGGAGCACCGGGAAGAGUUAUCUUUUCUUUGUAAGGAUUCGACUCCCUGGAAUCGGCUCGCCCGGAGAUAGGGAUGGUGUUUCCGUAAAGCACCGCGCCUCUUGCGGUGUCCGGAUCGCUCCCGUCGGCCCUUGAAAAUCCGAGUGAGAGAUAGUGAUUUUCGUGCCGGACCGUACCCAUAUCCGCAGCAGGUCUCCAAGGUGAACAGCCUCUAGUCGAUAGAAGAAU